GUGCCAGCCGCCGCGGUAAUACCGGCAGCUCAAGUGAUGUCCCAUAUUAUUGGGCCUAAAGCGUCCGUAGCUGGCCGCGCAAGUCCAUCGGGAAAUCCACCCGCCCAACGGGUGUACGGCCGGUGGAAACUGCUCGGCUCGGGAUCGGAAGACCCAACGGGUACGUCCAGGGUAGGAGUGAAAUCCCGUAAUCCUGGACGGACCGCCGAUGGCGAAAGCACGUUGGGAAGACGAAUCCGACAGUGAGGGACGAAAGCUAGGGUCUCGAACCGGAUUAGAAACCCCGGUAGUCC
rnacentral:rRNA from 1 species